UACGUAGGGGGCGAGCGUUAUCCGGAUUCAUUGGGCGUAAAGCGGCCUGUUAGGUCGGGAGUUAAAGCCGGGGGCUCAACCCCCGUCCGCUCCCGAUACCGGCGGGCUUGAGUCUGGUAGGGGAAGGCGGAAUUCCCAGUGUAGCGGUGGAAUGCGCAGAUAUUGGGAAGAACACCGGUGGCGAAGGCGGCCUUCUGGGCCACGACUGACGCUGAGGCGCGAAAGCUAGGGGAGCGAACAGG
rnacentral:rRNA from 1 species